rnacentral:rRNA from 1 species
UGGGGAAUAUUGGACAAUGGGGGGAACCCUGAUCCAGCCAUGCCGCGUGUGUGAAGAAGGCCUUAUGGUUGUAAAGCACUUUAAGCGAGGAGGAGGCUCUCUUGGUUAAUACCCAAGAAGAGUGGACGUUACUCGCAGAAUAAGCACCGGCUAACUCUGUGCCAGCAGCCGCGGUAAUACAGAGGGUGCGAGCGUUAAUCGGAUUUACUGGGCGUAAAGCGUGCGUAGGCGGCUUUUUAAGUCGGAUGUGAAAUCCCCGAGCUUAACUUGGGAAUUGCAUUCGAUACUGGGAAGCUAGAGUAUGGGAGAGGAUGGUAGAAUUCCAGGUGUAACGGUGAAAUGCGUAGAGAUCUGGAGGAAUACCGAUGGCGAAGGCAGCCAUCUGGCCUAAUACUGACGCUGAGGUACGAAAGCAUGGGGAGCAAACAGG